rnacentral:rRNA from 1 species
CACGUAGGGCGCAAGCGUUGUCCGGAUUCAUUGGGCGUAAAGAGCUCGUAGGCGGUUUGGUAAGUCGGGUGUGAAAACUCAGGGCUCAACUCUGAGAUGCCACCCGAUACUGCUAUGACUAGAGUCCGGUAGAGGAGUAUGGAAUUCCUGGUAUAGCGGUGAAAUGCGCAGAUAUCAGGAGGAACACCAAUUGCGAAGGCAGUACUCUGGGCCGGAACUGACGCUGAGGAGCGAAAGCGUGGGUAGCGAACAGG